UACGUAGGGGGCAAGCGUUGUCCGGAAUCAUUGGGCGUAAAGAGCGCGUAGGCGGUCCGGUAAGUCAGCUGUGAAAGUCAAGGGCUCAACCCUUGAAAGCCGGUUGAUACUGUCGGGCUAGAGUCCGGAAGAGGCGAGUGGAAUUCCCGGUGUAGCGGUGAAAUGCGCAGAUAUCGGGAGGAACACCAAUGGCGAAGGCAGCUCGCUGGGACGGUACUGACGCUGAGGCGCGAAAGCGUGGGAGCAACAGG
rnacentral:rRNA from 1 species